GAUGAACGCUGGCGGCGUGCCUAAUACAUGCAAGUUGAGCGCUCAAGUGUGGUACUUGUACCAACUGGGUGAGCGGCGGACGGGUGAGUAACGCGUGGGGAAUCUACCUUUAAGCGUGGGACAACAUCGGGAAACGAAUGCUAAUACCGCAUAAAAACUUUAAACACAAGGUUUAAGAUUGAAAGAUGCUAUUGCAUCACUCAAAAGUGAUCCCGCGCCGUAUUAGCUAGUUGGUGAGGUAAAGGCUUACCAAGGCAACGAUACAUAGCCGACCUGAGAGGGUGAUCGGCCACAUUGGGACUGAGACACGGUCCAGACUCCUACGGGAGGCAGCAGUAGGGAAUCUUCGGCAAAGGACGAAAGCCUGACGGAGCAACGCCGCGUGAGUGAAGAAGGUUUUCGGAUCGUAAAACUCUGUUGGUAGAGAAGAACGUUGGUGUGAGUAAAAAGGUACGUCAGGACGGGUACUAACCAAAAAAGGGCGGCCUACCUACGU
rnacentral:rRNA from 1 species